CAAGGGAUCAGAAAUAUUUCUAGGCUAAUCUUCAAGUUACUGUGAAAUGGAAAAAAAUGUUUUGGGUCAAGGUAAUAGAAAAAUAUAUCUUAGGUGUUAGGUGUUAGACAAAUAGUAAGACGUGAGAAUAUUGGGAAUCUUGAGCAAUAAUUUUUAUAUACCUGGUAAGAUUUUACUGGAUAUACUAGUAAGAUUUAUAUACCUGGUAAGAUUUUACUAAUUUUCCAAAAGAUCUUGGGCUGGGUUAUCUGCCCUUCUGUAUGCCAAUGUAUAUUUUUACUGUUCAAAGAAGGAAGGAAGAACAGAGUGGAGAUCAUUUAACCUAAAAAACGCAGACUGUUCUAUUGCUUGGGGAGUAACUUGGUUGAUGGAAGCCAAGACAUGGGCUGUAGUCUGGCAAGUCCCAUCCUGAGUUGUAGAUAUGUGCACAGUGGACAGCAAAGCAACUGGGCAGACCCAGUCAGCAAACUGGGAGAGUAAGACCCAUCAGGAGCUCUACCAAUAAAGUGGGCCUCAGACAGGAAUCAUGUCUGGAAAAAGAAGAAGGAAACUCAAGAUUUAUUGAGCACUCUCCAUGUGCCAGGCACAUGUCCCUGGAGAACAGUGGGUAAGUGUAUAAAAAUCUGAGAACCCUACUAAAAACUCCAGUUGGAUGAGUCAGAGACUUGGGAGGCUAUGGGUAAGCAACUCAGUUGGGGCCAAGUACUCUUGCCCUGUGCUCCCAUGGCACCCCACAAUAGCCCUAUCUCCCCAACUAGUCUCUGAGUUCCUGGAGGGCAGGGAUGGUGUCACCAAUUUUUGGCUGAUCUGACCAAUGGGAUAUUGGGGAUAUGACAGAAUGUGACUUCUACUAUGCUCUUUCUUGAUUUACUUACUCUGGGAGAAGCUGUCUGCCACUCUAGAAUCCCUAUGGAGAAGUACAUCAAGGAAAUACUGAGGCCUCCUGCCAACAGCCAGCACCAGCUUGCUAGCCAUGUGAGUGACAUAUCUUAUGAGUGGAUCCUCCAGCCCUCAUUAAACCUUCAAAGACUGCCCCAGCCAACAUCUUGACUGCAACUUCAUGAGAAAACCCAAGCCAGAACCACUCAGGCUCAGCUACUCUACUGCAGGUGCAAAUAGGAAAUGCUGGAGGCUUUUGAAGAAGAGGCUAAAGGAACAGGACACCCCAGGCUGCGUAUCACAGCAGCUAUAUCUGCUGGCAAGGAGACCAUUGAUGCAGGAUAUGAAAUUUCAGAGAUCAAGAAGAGAAAACCACCCUGUGGCUGGAGGCGAGAUAUGCUGGCGGAAGUGCUGCUCUGUUACUCUUUGCUACACUGAGAUGUUUGGGUGGAGAGAAGCAUAAAUCUGGCCUGCGUGCACGUCCAGGCAUAGUACCUUCUUUGAACUUACUUGUGACACAGAUUCCUUUGCUCACAUGUUUUCUUGCUGACCUUCUCCCCACUAUCACCCUGUUCUCCUGCCACAUUCCCCUUGCUGAGAUAGUGAAAAUAAUAAUUAAUAAAUACUGAGGGAACUCAGAGACCGGUGCUGGUGCAGGUCCUCCGUAUGCUGAG